CCGAAGCUGCGGCAGCGACACUGUGUGUUGUUGGGUAGGGGAGCGUUCUGUAAGCCUGUGAAGGUGUGUCGUGAGGCAUGCUGGAGGUAUCAGAAGUGCGAAUGCUGACAUAAGUAACGAUAAAGCGGGUGAAAAGCCCGCUCGCCGGAAGACCAAGGGUUCCUGUCCAACGUUAAUCGGGGCAGGGUGAGUCGACCCCUAAGGCGAGGCCGAAAGGCGUAGUCGAUGGGAAACGGGUUAAUAUUCCCGUACUUGGUGUUACUGCGAAGGGGGGACGGAGAAGGCUAUGUUGGCCGGGCGACGGUUGUCCCGGUUUAAGCGUGUAGGUGUGUGUUCCAGGUAAAUCCGGUUCACUUUAACACUGAGGCGUGACGACGAGGCACUACGGUGCUGAAGCAACAAAUGCCCUGCUUCCAGGAAAAGCCUCUAAGCAUCAGGUAACAUCAAAUCGUACCCCAAACCGACACAGGUGGUCAGGUAGAGAAUACCAAGGCGCUUGAGAGAACUCGGGUGAAGGAACUAGGCAAAAUGGUGCCGUAACUUCGGGAGAAGGCACGCUGACACGUAGGUGAAGUGAUUUACUCAUGGAGCUGAAGUCAGUCGAAGAUACCAGCUGGCUGCAACUGUUUAUUAAAAACACAGCACUGUGCAAACACGAAAGUGGACGUAUACGGUGUGACGCCUGCCCGGUGCCGGAAGGUUAAUUGAUGGGGUCAGCGCAAGCGAAGCUCCUGAUCGAAGCCCCGGUAAACGGCGGCCGUAACUAUAACGGUCCUAAGGUAGCGAAAUUCCUUGUCGGGUAAGUUCCGACCUGCACGAAUGGCGUAAUGAUGGCCAGGCUGUCUCCACCCGAGACUCAGUGAAAUUGAACUCGCUGUGAAGAUGCAGUGUACCCGCGGCAAGACGGAAAGACCCCGUGAACCUUUACUAUAGCUUGACACUGAACAUUGAGCCUUGAUGUGUAGGAUAGGUGGGAGGCUUUGAAGUGUGGACGCCAGUCUGCAUGGAGCCGACCUUGAAAUACCACCCUUUAAUGUUUGAUGUUCUAACGUGGACCCGUUACCCGGGUUGCGGACAGUGUCUGGUGGGUAGUUUGACUGGGGCGGUCUCCUCCUAAAGAGUAACGGAGGAGCACGAAGGUU
rnacentral:rRNA from 1 species